GAUCCUGGCUCAGAUUGAACGCUGGCGGCAGGCUUAACACAUGCAAGUCGAACGGUAACAGGGAUUAGCUUGCUAAUUUGCUGACGAGUGGCGGACGGGUGAGUAAUGCUUGGGAAUCUGGCUUAUGGAGGGGGAUAACUACGGGAAACUGUAGCUAAUACCGCGUAAUAUCGGAAGAUUAAAGGGUGGGACUUCGGUCCGACCCUCGCCACUAAGAAUAGAGCCCAACGUAGGGAGUUAGGUUAAGGUUGGUUUAGGGUUAAAGGGUAACGUG
rnacentral:rRNA from 1 species